UUGGGCUCCGGCUCAUAACCCGACCCAUAUAAUAAGUUUAUUAUUAGGGCUCCGCGUUUUACGAAACGCAGCACUAUAAAUACCUAACCUAGGGUUUUCUAUUCUCAGAUUCAUUCAGCUGCUGCUGAAAAUCGCCAUCGUUUCAAAGUAGCCUGAGAAACUAGCGUUCAUCACCCAACAUGAGAGCCAAGUGGAAGAAGAAGCGCAUGAGGAGAUUGAAGAGGAAGCGCCGAAAGAUGAGACAGAGAUCUAAGUAGGUGCAUCACAUGGAGACCUUUCCAUCUUACCUGCUUCGAGGCAUGAAUUUGAGGUUUGGUUGAUGGGGAGAUUCUCUAUAGAUGAAGCUUUUAGUUGUAUUGCUCUAAGACAAUUAAUUUCGAGUAUUUUGUGGUACUUUGCGAGUACUGUUUUGUUUGUUUGGUAUAAUGACUGAUAUUUAUAUUGUUAUGGCUGAUAAUAUAAUUUGAUCUUUUUAUUUACACUUCAA